AUGAGCACUUUUGUUGUGUGCUUCAAGGUGACAGAGAGUGAAAACAAGCUGAAGCAGAGCCUCGCUGAGUGUGAGCUGCAGCUGCAGACCCUGGAAAGGGAGCGAGCAGAACAGCGCCAGACCAUCAGCCGGCUGCAGGAGGAGGUGCAUCAAGUCAGAGCAACAGCGGCUGACCUCCAAGUCCGAUCUGAUGAAGCUGAGGAGAGGGCCUCCCAGCUGCAGCUGCAGCUGCAGACGCGAGGAGCAGAGUGCAGGGAGCUGGAAGAGCUGCGCAUUUUAACCCGCAACCAGGAGCAGAAGGUGGUCCAGAACCUCAGAGAGGCUCACCAGAGCCAGACGGAGCUGGCCAACCUGGAGGCCAUAGUAGCCUUGCUGCACCUUCGACAGGGUCCUGAGGGCCCUCUGUGCACCAACCCAUGCAUGCUGCCCCCUGUGGAGCACUCUGGAGCUGCACAUCUGCUGCACCUGAAACCAGGCGAAGGCUACCAGCAGCUGCUGCGAGUGCUGCAGCUAAAGGAAGCUGAGAGCAGGAAGCAGAUCAGCCUGAACAAGCAGCUGCAGGAGCGUCUGAGCAGAGCGCAGGAGGAGAUCUUCUCCCUGCAGAACUCCAUGAGCCAGAGAGCCUCUCACUACCAGAACCUCCACACUGAGCUGCUGGGCAAAGUCAGCCAAGCCACCGACACAGAGAAGGAGGUGACAUGCGUUCUCCUGUCAUUUAUAUGUGUGUGUGUGUAUCAGUUUUUGCACAUGUGGAUGUGUGUGUGUGUGCAGGUGUGUGCAUGUGGCAGCUGGUGAAUUUCUUUUUGGGUGGGGCUCAUUUUUGCAAGUCAGUUUUCAGAAGCGCUAACCACAUAUCACCACUAGGGGAUGCCAAAUUACCAUUCUUAUGCGUCACACUGCUAAUUGAACGUGACAUACCCGGUACCAGGUCCACGACCACAUCAAACAGCAAAGUUGUUCCAAAAACAUGCUUGGUGUUUACCAAUAUAUGCAAAUUGCAAACGUACUUAACCGAAGCAGCUAAUCUAAAUGAUAAAAUACACGUUUUCUACCUCAACAACCCCGAUGACAAUAAGCAGCUACAUGAAAAGCAAAACAAAGCUAAUUUCAGGAAUUCUAAAGUGUAAAUUCAGUCUUACAUUUGCUGGUUUGUGGUAAUAAUAAUCUGUGUUAUAGUAAAGAGAUCCACUGUCGCCGCUGCGAUCAGAGAUGCGCCCCGCCUGGGAGAACCGGGUGGACAACAUCGGUUUCCAUCCGAGAGCUCCACAAGCCGGCAGCCCACGCAGCAGACAAGCGCCGCGGCGAUCAGAGAUGCGCCGAGCUGCAGUUGAGGGGAGGGGACCAUACCGAUAGUCGGAACCCAGCUCUACCAACAUGUAUACCAACAUAUUUCAACCCAUUUCCAAAAAUGCAGCAUUAUGUUAAAUGCACUGGGUUUUACCUUAUUACCGUAUUUUCCGGACUAUAAGUCACACUUUUUUCAUAGUCUGGCCGGUCCUGCGACUUAUCCUCUGGAAUGACUUAAUUAUGUAGGCUGUACCGCGCUGCUGCGGGCCGGCUCUGGACCAGGAAUGAGCUCCCCUGCCCCACUGGGAAUUAAAAGCACACAGCCAUCACCUGCCGGAGCCUGUUGCGCGCCGUUGCGUACUGGAUCCGGCCCAGGUUUCAGCUCCUCUGCCCCGCCAUCACCUGCUGCAGCCUGUGGCUUGCUGCUGCGGGCCGGCUCUGGACCAGGAAUGAGCUCCCCUGUCCCGCUGGGACAGAAGAGUGAGAAAAAAAUUCACCCCCCUCAGAGUUGUCAUGAGUGUAAACUAGAUCAUUUAAAGGGAUUUUACGGAGUUUUGAAUUUUUAUGCUCGUGAUCGCCCCCUCAGGCCCAAAGCGUAACGGCAGCUUCAAUAGUAGGCUCGUGCACGAGGCGCGCAUGCUGUACGUGCACACUCCUUAACGAAAAUAACAGCAGAGACAGUCAGCUCCGUGUGUGUGUGUGUGUGUGUGUGUGUGUGUGUGUGUGUGUGUGUGUGUGUGUGUGUGUGUGUGGCCCGGAGGACAGAGGACAGGAGAAC
ensembl:lncRNA